rnacentral:rRNA from 1 species
CUACCAUGCAGUCGAGCGCGAAAGUUUUCGGAUGAGUAGAGCGGCGAACGGGUGAGUAACGCGUGGGAAUCUGCCUGGUAAUGGGGGACAACAUCUCGAAAGGGAUGCUAAUACCGCAUACGCCCUAAGGGGGAAAGUGGGGGAUCUUCGGACCUCACGUUAUCAGAGGAGCCCGCGUCGGAUUAGCUAGUAGGUAGGGUAAAGGCCUACCUAGGCGACGAUCCGUAACUGGUCUGAGAGGAUGAUCAGUCACACUGGAACUGAGACACGGUCCAGACUCCUACGGGAGGCAGCAGUGGGGAAUAUUGGACAAUGGGGGCAACCCUGAUCCAGCCAUGCCGCGUGUGUGAAGAAGGCCUUCGGGUUGUAAAGCACUUUAAGUUGGGAGGAAGGCUUCACGGAUAAUACCUGUGAGGAUUGACGUUACCAACAGAAUAAGCACCGGCUAACUCCGUGCCAGCAGCCGCGGUAAUACGGAGGGUGCAAGCGUUAAUCGGAAUUACUGGGCGUAAAGCGCGCGUAGGCGGCCAUUUAAGCUAGAUGUGAAAGCCCAGGGCUUAACCUUGGAACUGCAUUUAGAACUGGAUGGCUAGAGUAUGGAAGAGGAGUGUGGAAUUUCAGGUGUAGCGGUGAAAUGCGUAGAGAUCUGAAGGAACAUCAGUGGCGAAGGCGACACUCUGGUCCAAUACUGACGCUGAGGUGCGAAAGCGUGGGGAUCAAACAGGAUUAGAUACCCUGGUAGUCCACGCCGUAAACGAUGUCGACUAGCCGUUGGCCUCCUUGAGGGGUUAGUGGCGCAGCUAACGCGAUAAGUCGACCGCCUGGGGAAUUACGGCCGCAAGGUUUAAACUCAAAAUGAAUUGACGGGGGCCCGCACAACCGGUGGAGCAUGUGGUUUUAAUUCGAC